CGGGUGAGUAACGCGUGAGUAACCUGCCUUUCAGAGGGGGAUAACGUUCUGAAAAGAAACGCUAAUACCGCAUAAGAUUGUAGUUUCGCAUGGAGCAGCAAUCAAAGGAGCAAUCCGCUGAAAGAUGGACUCGCGUCCGAUUAGAUAGUUGGCGGGGUAACGGCCCACCAAGUCGACGAUCGGUAGCCGGACUGAGAGGUUGAUCGGCCACAUUGGGACUGAGACACGGCCCAG
rnacentral:rRNA from 1 species